AAACUCUGGUGAAGGAACUAGGCAAAAUAGCACCGUAACUUCGGGAGAAGGUGCGCUGCUGACGGUGAAGGCCUUGCGCCGUAAGCUGUUGGCAGCCGAAGUAACCAGGCCGCUGCGACUGUUUAUUAAAAACACAGCACUCUGCAAACACGAAAGUGGACGUAUAGGGUGUGACGCCUCCCCGGUGCCGGAAGGUUAAUUGAUGGGGUCAGCCGCAAGGCGAAGCUCUUGAUCGAAGCCCCGGUAAACGGCGGCCGUAACGAUAACGGUCCUAAGGUAGCGAAAUUCCUUGUCGGGUAAGUUCCGACCUGCACGAAUGGCGUAACGAUGGCGGCGCUGUCUCCACCAGAGACUCAGUGAAAUCGAAAUCGCGGUGAAGAUGCCGUGUACCCGUGGCUAGACGGAAAGACCCCGUGAACCUUUACUGUAGCUUCACACUGGACUUUGACAUGAUCUGUGUAGGAUAGCUGGGAGGCUUUGAAGUGGUGACGCCAGUUGCCAUGGAGCCGUCCUUGAAAUACCAGCCUGGUCCUGUCGGGGUUCUAACGUCGACCUGUUAUCCAGGUUACGGACAGUGUGUGGUGGGCAGUUUGACUGGGGCGGUCUCCUCCCAAAGAGUAACGGAGGAGCACGAAGGUGCGCUAAUCACGGUCGGAAAUCGUGAGGUUAGUGUAAAGGCACAAGCGCGCUUGACUGCGAGACAGACAAGUCGAGCAGGUACGAAAGUAGGUCUUAGUGAUCCGGUGGUUCUGUAUGGAAGGGCCAUCGCUCAACGGAUAAAAGGUACUCCGGGGAUAACAGGCUGAUACCGCCCAAGAGUUCAUAUCGACGGCGGUGUUUGGCACCUCGAUGUCGGCUCAUCACAUCCUGGGGCUGAAGCCGGUCCCAAGGGUAUGGCUGUUCGCCAUUUAAAGUGGUACGCGAGCUGGGUUUAGAACGUCGUGAGACAGUUCGGUCCCUAUCUGCCAUGGGCGUUGGAGAUUUGAGAAGAGUUGCUCCUAGUACGAGAGGACCGGAGUGAACGAACCUCUGGUGUACCGGUUGUCACGCCAGUGGCAUUGCCGGGUAGCUAAGUUCGGACGGGAUAACCGCUGAAAGCAUCUAAGCGGGAAGCCUCCUUCAAGAUGAGAUCUCCCUGGAGCUUUAGGCUCCCUAAAGGGCCGUCGAAGACUACGACGUUGAUAGGCGAGGUGUGGAAGCGUUGUGAGACGUUGAGCUGACUCGUACUAAUUGCCCGUGCGGCUUGACCU
rnacentral:rRNA from 1 species